rnacentral:rRNA from 1 species
AACGAACGCUGGCGGCAGGCUUAACACAUGCAAGUCGAACGCAUGCCUUCGGGCAUGAGUGGCAGACGGGUGAGUAACGCGUGGGAACCUACCCCUUGGUACGGGAUAGCUCCGGGAAACUGGGGAUAAUACCGUAUGUGUCCUGAGGGACAAAGAUUCAUCGCCAAGGGAUGGGCCCGCGUCGGAUUAGCUAGUUGGUGGGGUAACGGCCUACCAAGGCGACGAUCCGUAGCUGGUCUAAGAGGAUGAUCAGCCACAUUGGGACUGAGACACGGCCCAAACUCCUACGGGAGGCAGCAGUGGGGAAUAUUGGACAAUGGGCGCAAGCCUGAUCCAGCCAUGCCGCGUGAGUGAUGAAGGCCCUAGGGUUGUAAAGCUCUUUCACCGGUGACGAUAAUGACGGUAACCGGAGAAGAAGCCCCGGCUAACUUCGUG